rnacentral:sRNA from 1 species
UAAGUCUAAAAAUCUCGUAAGGGUCAC